rnacentral:rRNA from 2 species
GWCGAACGAACUCUGGUAUUGAUUGGUGCUUGCAUCAUGAUUUACAUUUGAGUGAGUGGCGAACUGGUGAGUAACACGUGGGAAACCUGCCCRGAAGCGGGGGAUAACACCUGGAAACAGAUGCUAAUACCGCAUAACAACUUGGACCGCAUGGUCCGAGYUUGAAAGAUGGCUUCGGCUAUCACUUYUGGAUGGUCCCGCGGCGUAUUAGCUAGAUGGUGAGGUAACGGCUCACCAUGGCAAUGAUACGUAGCCGACCUGAGAGGGUAAUCGGCCACAUUGGGACUGAGACACGGCCCAAACUCCUACGGGAGGCAGCAGUAGGGAAUCUUCCACAAUGGACGAAAGUCUGAUGGAGCAACSCCGCGUGAGUGAAGAAGGGUUUCGGCUCGUAAAACUCUGUUGUUAAAGAAGAACAUAUCUGAGAGUAACUGUUCAGGUAUUGACGGUAUUUAACCAGAAAGCCACGGCUAACUACGUGCCAGCMGCCGCGGUAAU